rnacentral:rRNA from 1 species
CCUACGGGAGGCAGCAGUGGGGAAUAUUGCACAAUGGGGGAAACCCUGAUGCAGCGACGCCGCGUGAGUGAAGAAGUAUUUCGGUAUGUAAAGCUCUAUCAGCAGGGAAGAAAAUGACGGUACCUGAUUAAGAAGCCCCGGCUAACUACGUGCCAGCAGCCGCGGUAAUACGUAGGGGGCAAGCGUUAUCCGGAUUUACUGGGUGUAAAGGGAGCGUAGACGGCAGCGCAAGUCUGGAGUGAAAGGCCGGGGCCCAACCCCGGGACUGCUCUGGAAACUGCCUGGCUGGAGUACAGGAGAGGUAA